rnacentral:lncRNA from 1 species
AAAUGACAUGACUUUAGAAGCCACUCAUACAGCCAUUGAUAUGUAUGCUGAUGAUACAACACUUCAUACAUAUGGAACAAAUAAGGAAGAGAUAGAAAGAAAACUAAAUUACGAUGCCAACACCAUAAAUAAUUGGUGUCUGAACAAUAGGAUGGUUAUAAAUCCCUUAAAAACUACUUCUAUGUUGAUUGGAACAAAUAAGAAACGGAC